UGCGUAGGCGGCUGAUUAAGUCGGAUGUGAAAUCCCUGAGCUUAACUUAGGAAUUGCAUUCGAUACUGGUCAGCUAGAGUAUGGGAGAGGAUGGUAGAAUUCCAGGUGUAGCGGUGAAAUGCGUAGAGAUCUGGAGGAAUACCGAUGGCGAAGGCAGCCAUCUGGCCUAAUACUGACGCUGAGGUACGAAAGCAGUGGGGAGCAAACA
rnacentral:rRNA from 1 species